GACUGCGGGCGGAGCCGCUGACUUUUAAUCAGAGCGUCCUGGGUUCGAGUCCCAGCGCGAUCACCA
rnacentral:tRNA from 1 species